GUGGGGAAUAUUGGACAAUGGGCGAAAGCCUGAUCCAGCCACGCCGCGUGAGUGAUGAAGGCCUUCGGGUCGUAAAGCUCUGUGGGGAGGGACGAAUGAGCCGCUGAAGAGGCGGAAAUGACGGUACCUCCUUAGCAAGCACCGGCUAACUUCGUGCCAGCAGCCGCGGUAAUACGAAGGGUGCAAACGUUGCUCGGAAUCAUUGGGCGUAAAGCGCACGUAGGCGGCCUCAUAAGUCGGAUGUGAAAUCCCUCGGCUCAACCGAGGACGUGCAUCCGAAACUGUGAAGCUCGAGUAUGGAAGAGGGUCGCGGAAUUCCCGGUGUAGAGGUGAAAUUCGUAGAUAUCGGGAGGAACACCAGUGGCGAAGGCGGCGACCUGGGCCAAUACUGACGCUGAGGUGCGAAAGCGUGGGGAGCAAACAGGAUUAGAAACCCUAGUAGUCC
rnacentral:rRNA from 1 species